GUAUAUCUCUCCUCUGGUAUGUCAAGUUUUCUUAGCAGUUUCAUCCCCAAGCAUUCAGUAUAAAAUUUUAUUGUCUUCUCCAAGUCACCAACUCGAUAAACAACAUGAAGCAUUCUUCUUUUGUCCUUGUUAACCCACUCUAAUGCAUUUUCCUCAGCAACCGCAGUGUUCACUGGUGCCAUUUUUGGAGAGGUGCUAGGUUUCAUCAUAUGUCCAUCUCCGCUUAACAAUUUAGAUGCUUUUACACCCAACAAGUGGGACUCAGGGAUAGCGGCACCGAGUUUUAGGAGAGCAAGUCUUCUAGACCGAUUCUGAUUGAAAGAGGCUACAUUAUUAUCAUUGGUAUUGUUUCCAUUCUGCAGAGAAGAAAGCUUAAAAGAAUGUGAGCGAAAAGAAUCUUUCUUUAUCUGCGUUGACACGCUGAGAGGAGGAGGAGUAGGAGAAGACGAAGAUGGUAGAGCCAUUGUCCUUAGCAUUUUCUUCCUACGGCUGUAUCGCUCUCUGUUU
rnacentral:misc_RNA from 1 species